rnacentral:piRNA from 3 species
AGUUGGUAGAGCGGAGGACUGUA